GACGGGCUGGGCCGAGACGGGCCGGGCCGGGCCGGGCCGGGCUGGGCUGCGCUGCGCUGCGCUGCGGGACGAAGAGGCGCUGGGUUCGGCUGUGGUGGAGGGAGCUGAUGUCGCCGGAGCGGAGGCGCCAGCGCGGCCCGAGCGCCGGUUGACGCGCAGCUCAGCAGGGAGCCGCCAGGAAAAGAGGAAUGAAGACACACAGAAGAUGACAAUGAUGUUUUACACAGUUCCAUAAAGGACUCUGACCUGGCCUGAUGACAGUGAUUUUUUUUGCAUCUAACUUCUGAUUAUUGUAGUAAAAUGCCCCUUUUUUUCCUUUAAUUUUCCCAUAUUGCAGCGUAGGUCUGUCAUGUAUUUCAGUGAUGUUGUGACAGAAAAAGCCCUCUUCUAAAAAUUCUCCUCUCUUCUCACUAGAGGGCUCUCCCAAAAUACUGACAGGGGACAGUUCCACUUACAGAGACACUUCUACUCUAGAUACAGGCAUUUAUAGAAACGUUUUGGGCAUGGUAAUGGCUAGCCUGCAAUGAAAUUAAAUCUCAUCUUUGUCAGGUUUUGCAAAAAGAAUUGGAUAUUGGUGUUUGCUUAUUUUUUUAAUACAGGCAUAUAUUUGCCAGGGGGGUUACUGAAAAAUAACCUGUGCACAUUCUGAGUGAAGCUGGCAGAUUUUUAGAUGUAUAAAUCUUGUAAAUGUAAGAAUAAACACAAUUUUUACACAA